GCAUAUCAAUAAGCGGAGGAAAAGAAACCAACAGGGAUUGCCCUAGUAACGGCGAGUGAAGCGGCAACAGCUCAAAUUUGAAAUCUGGCUUUCGGGCCCGAGUUGUAAUUUGUAGAGGAUGAUUUUGAUGCGGUGCCUUCCGAGUUCCCUGGAACGGGACGCCAUAGAGGGUGAGAGCCCCGUCUGGUUGGAUGCCAAAUCUCUGUAAAUCUCCUUCGACGAGUCGAGUAGUUUGGGAAUGCUGCUCUAAAUGGGAGGUAUAUGUCUUCUAAAGCUAAAUACCGGCCAGAGACCGAUAGCGCACAAGUAGAGUGAUCGAAAGAUGAAAAGCACUUUGAAAAGAGAGUUAAAAAGUACGUGAAAUUGUUGAAAGGGAAGCGUUUAUGACCAGACUUGGGCUUGGUUAAUCAUCUGGGGUUCUCUCCAGUGCACUUUUCCAGUCCAGGCCAGCAUCAGUUUUCGCCGGGGGAUAAAGGCUUCGGGAAUGUGGCUCCCCUCGGGGAGUGUUAUAGCCCGUUGUGUAAUACCCUGGUGGGGACUGAGGUUCGCGCUUCUGCAAGGAUGCUGGCGUAAUGGUCAUCAACGACCCGUCUUGAAACACGGACCAAGGAGUCGUCUUCGUAUGCGAGUGUUCGGGUGUCAAACCCCUACGCGUAAUGAAAGUGAACGCAGGUGAGAGCUUCGGCGCAUCAUCGACCGAUCCUGAUGUUCUCGGAUGGAUUUGAGUAAGAGCAUACGGGGCCGGACCCGAAAGAAGGUGAACUAUGCCUGUGUAGGGUGAAGCCAGAGGAAACUCUGGUGGAGGCUCGCAGCGGUUCUGACGUGCAAAUCGAUCGUCUAAACAUGGGCAUGGGGGCGAAAGACUAAUCGAACCUUUCUAGUAGCUGGUUUCCGCCGAAG
rnacentral:rRNA from 1 species